rnacentral:RNase_P_RNA from 1 species
CGAGUUGGCCAGACAAUCGCUGCUGUUUAAUUUCGGUUAAGCAGGGGAGGAAAGUCCGGGCUCCAAAGAGCAGGGUGCCAGAUAACGUCUGGGGGGCGCAAGCCUACGACAAGUGCAGCAGAGAGAAGACCGCCUAAGCCUUUUUCGGAAGGCCGGUAAGGGUGAAAGGGUGCGGUAAGAGCGCACCGGGCCGCUGGUAACAGUUGGCAGCAGGGUAAACUCCACCCGGAGCAAGACCAAAUAGGGUUCUACGAUUCUUAGGAAUUAACGCGUGGCUCGCGCGAGAACCGGGUAGGUUGCUUGAGCCUUAGAGCGAUUUAAGGCCUAGACGAAUGAUUGUCGCUCUUGAAAAAGAGAACAGAACCCGGCUUAUACGGCCAGCUCAAUAA